AACUAAAACUAAAACUGGCCUACAGAAAAAGAAAAGCCCACGAUGGUACCCACCCCACCCAAUACAAUACAUAUUCAUUUUUCCUAUUCUAAAAAGUUAAAAAUUAAAACCUAUUCCCAUCACCCUGUGCGUGACAUCUCUCCCCUCUCUUUCAAUUUCUUUUCUUUUUCUCCCCUCUGUACAGAACGCAUGGCCUCCUCUCUUUUCUAUUGUUCCACUUCCAUUCUUCAUAGAAAUCAAAUCUAAGAUUUCUUCAUAACCCACAAACUCUUGAAGAUAAAUUUACUCUUACAAACGUGGAAGCCACUGUGUGGAAGCAAUUGAAUUAAUUUUGAAAGUUAGGGUUUGUGCUCUAAGGAAGAGAAGAGUAGCACCCCUUCAGAUUUGCUCUUUGGAUGUUAUUGAGUUCAGAUACGCUACUAGUGGUUCGUUCGUGAGUCCGGAAGUUGUUGGGAGCAAUCGUGUUGAUUCUUUGUAACUAAUAAAGAUUGAAAUAUGCAGUUAUGUGUUGAUUACCAAGGGUUGGGUAAGGUGACAACAAAGAAUAAAUGUUGUUUACCUCGCGUAGAUGAGUUGUUGAUCGGCUGCAAAAAAAAAUAUCUGAAUAGUUUGAAGAAAAAAAAAAGACUUGCGAUCUUGGAACGCACUUGAUCAGGUAUACUUUGGGAGACAAGAGAAAUGGUUUGCACACUAAGACCACCGACUAAAGUGGUGCAUAUGAGAAUUUCUAAGAGUUGAUGUGUCGUUCUAUGGUGUGACAGUUAGUUACUUGAUAUUCGUGUGUUUUAGCUUAUUGACAAUGGUUGGUAAUUUGUGUUACAAUAUGUGAAGUAGGUGGUUUCACAAGGGUCAAUGGUUUGGAUGGUCCUAUUUUGCGGAGUUGUGUGUGAGGUUGAAUGUAAGUUGUUGUCUUCUUGGUGGGUAGCAUCAUUACUGUUAAUAGUGAGACGACGGAAAAAAAAAUUAAUUGAAUAUUAAGAAGAAAGACAUUUCAGAGACGGAUUUCAUAAUGUUGUUCUGGUUAUAAUUAGUUAUUAGUCACGCCUUUGGACUUAGUGAUGUUACUGGUGUUUUAAGGAUUCAAUGGACGAUCAUUCUGUGAGCAUUUUGUGACUGUGUUUAUUGAUGAUAUUACUGUAUAUUUUGAGGAUGUAAAAAAAAAGAGCUAUAGAAGCUUGUUUAUUGUAGAGUUUAGUGUGGGCAUGCCCAUUCCAACUCAUUGCUAACUUAUGUGCAAAUUGGUUUUAGUUUGACGGAUGAUUUGGUUGAGGAUAUUGAACAUGAUCAAUAGGUGGUGAAGAUGGUAGAGGAUUUUUUUUAAGGUGAAAAGGGUCCACAUUUUCUAGUAGACUCUGAUGUAUUUAUGACUUUAAUGUCGGUUGUGUGUGUCUAAUACAAAUAGUUUGUGGAGGAAAAUAUUAGAGGAUGCUUAUUAUUAUUUUUAGAUCAUACAUCCAGGUUUUAAUAAAUGAAUUAAGAUAUGAAGAAAUUUUAAUUAUGGGAAAGGAUGAAAGAGGACAUAGAAAAUUUGUUUCUGAAGGUUUAGCAUGUCAGCAGGUGAUGGAUGAGCUUAAAAGCAAGCAAUGCUGCUUCAAUCUAAUAAGAUACCAUAGGAAAAGUGAGAAGGUGUUGUUAUGAACUUGGUGAGAGGGUUACUUAGGAAUUUAAUGCGUUAUGAUUUUGUAUCGGUGAUUAUGGAUCAAUUGACUGAGUAUGUACGCUUUUUCCUAUAAAGAGUUCUUAUACUACGACAUGGUAUACUAAGAUUUUGUUGGAUGAAAUUGUUUGUUUGCAUGGUGUAAGCAUGUCUAUAAUUUCAAAUCAAGGAGCUUAAUGGUAUGCAUUUUUUUUGAAGACUUUCAAGGUCGUUGUGGGGUCAUAUUUAAAUUUGAGUAAUACUUUCUAUCCUUAAAUUGAUGGCUAACUUAGGAGGAUUAUUCAGAUCUUGAAGAAUAUGUUUCGUGCUUAUGUUUUAGGCUUUAGAGGGAGUUGAGAGCAGACUUUGUAAUUAAUGAAGUUCGCUUAUAGUAGCAAGCUAUCAAUCUAGUAUUCGGAGGACACCAUUUGAGGCCUUGUAUAGUAGGCGAUCACUAAUAGGUUGGUGUGAAGAUAAGGAAGCUAAGCUUGUUGGUCCAAAACUUGUCAAAAAUGUAGUAAAGAAAAUUUAGUUGGUUCACGAUUGUUUGGUUACCUUAUAGUGGAAGUAUGAAACUGGUAGGAGGUGACGACCUAAAGGUUGCAGUUAGAGAUCAUGUGUUGUUACGCGUUUCUCCAAUGAAAUGAGUGAUACUGUUUAGUAAGAAAGGGAAGUUAAGUUCAGGGUUCAUGGGAUCAUUUGAGAUAUUUGAGAGGGUGGCUUUGUAGCUUAUCAAUUGAUGUUUUUCUCAGAUGGUUUUGAAGUUCACCCAGUUUCAUGUCUAUGCUUUACAAAUACCUAUAUGUUCCUUCUCAUGUUAUAUGUCAUGAGAAUGCACAACUAGAUGAGCAUUUAUAUCAUAUGGAGCAUCAAGUAGCAAUAACUGGUACACGAAUGAAAAGUCUAUGUUCCAAGGAAUGUUUGGUAAAGAGAUGACUCUGAAACCGAGGUAGUCAUGCCCAAGACUUAAAAUUCGAGGACGAAUUUUCUUAAGGAGGGAAGAUUGAAACGAUCCGUGUAUAUAUAUAUAUAUAUAUAUAUAUAUAUAUAUAUAUAUACAAUAGUGAUUAUAUAUAUAUAUAAAAAAAAAACUAAAACUAAAACUGGCCUACAGAAAAAGAAAAGCCCACGAUGGUACCCACCCCACCCAAUACAAUACAUAUUCAUUUUUCCUAUUCUAAAAAGUUAAAAAUUAAAACCUAUUCCCAUCACCCUGUGCGUGACAUCUCUCCCCUCUCUUUCAAUUUCUUUUCUUUUUCUCCCCUCUGUACAGAACGCAUGGCCUCCUCUCUUUUCUAUUGUUCCACUUCCAUUCUUCAUAGAAAUCAAAUCUAAGAUUUCUUCAUAACCCACAAACUCUUGAAGAUAAAUUUACUCUUACAAACGUGGAAGCCACUGUGUGGAAGCAAUUGAAUUAAUUUUGAAAGUUAGGGUUUGUGCUCUAAGGAAGAGAAGAGUAGCACCCCUUCAGAUUUGCUCUUUGGAUGUUAUUGAGAUACGCUGCUAGUGGUUCGUUCGUGAGUCCGGAAGUUGUUGGGAGCAAUCGUGUUGAUUCUUUGUAACUAUUUCCAGGCAACUAAGUAGCAGACUGUUGUCAGGUUCAGAUCAUUCAGCUCAUUUCGUUUAUAGGCCUCUUUUGGCAGGUGGUCAUAUUUGUAUCUUUGUUGCUCUUUGUUAUUCUGCAGCUAUAGGGGAGUCUUGGGUGAAUUCAGUUUGAGUUGUUAUGUAUUGUUUUAAUUUAGGAAUUAACACUUUAGUGCUGGAUUUGGAAUUCGUGUAUUUUUAGAAUUCUAGUUAUGAUAAAUCUCAAUUGAUAGAUUUUAUUAUUUUGGAGAUAUUGAUAUUACAGGAGAGAUUAUUUUUUUAUAAA